AUUUCGUAUAUCCCUUUACAAAAAAUUGAUCUCCGAAUCCAACGCCUUGCAUCUUCGUUGCUAUUAACGACGGCUAGCAUAAAUGGAUUUUGGGUUGUAGCAUCAUUCGGAGAAAUUGAGUCUUGAAACUCUUUAAUUGCAUGAGAAAACAAUGCCUGAUUCCGACUUUUAUCGCUUUUGAAAGCAACAUUCAAAUAUUCUGAUUUUGGAAUUAACCAAAACUCAACGUUUUCAAUCUUAGCUAAUGUUUCUAAUUCAGGCAAAUGAAAGUGUGCAUGAGUAGAAGCUAAAUGCAGUAAAUAGACAGACAUCUUAAGGGUUACAACAUUUAUUGGAUAUGGGAUUUAAAAUAUCUGAAAAAACAUAUAUGGCCUUCUAUUGUAAGUAA